CCUAGAAGAAUGACAUUGGCCUAAGUUGAAUUUGACGAGGUUGACUAUUAUGUGACCAAGAAGGACAUAAUAAAUCAUGACAUUUGAAGAACAUCCUGAGUUCAAAGGGCUGAGGAGCAUGAUGGCCUGUGGACUCAGUGUUGCAUAUUUUAAGUACGGCAGAGCCAGAGGAGGUGUGCUGAGUGACUGAAGAUCUCCGUGUUAGCCCCUGUGUUGAAGCUCUUUGUAACCACGGGCAAGGAGCCUUUAAGACUCACUGUUCUGCAGCUGGCGCUGUGAUUUCCUUCUCCUCAACAGGCUCUCUCCCAUCUUCCUCCACCCUGGAGACCUGCUGUGGCUCUCUCCGCUAUUACAGAAUUAAGACUGUCUGGGGAAUACUAGUUAAUUGCCCAGCAGCUAAUCAGAAUCGUAAAGGUCAGUGAUAACAGGCAACAGCUUACUCAUGUUCGUAAACAGCAGGAUGUGACAAAAGCAGUUUACCUUGAGAAAUCUACUGAGCUUAUGCUGUCUUGCUUGGGCCCUGUCUGUCCAUCUUCAUCUGCCUUUUCAGUUUCUGCUUCUGCCCCCUCUUUGGGUCUUGUUUCCAGGUAUUAUUCCAUGUUGCUGUUUGGUCCCCUUUGAAGGGGUUCUGCAUCCAGUUCCGGUUUGUGAGGUUUGUGCCACACCACUACCACUGUCCGACACUGGCCACGUGUCCUACCAUUCAACUCCAUCCUGACACCAUCCACCCGGAGACAGCAGCAGAUUC